GACGAACGCUGGCGGCGUGCUUAACACAUGCAAGUCGAACGGAAAGGCCCUGCUUUUGUGGGGUGCUCGAGUGGCGAACGGGUGAGUAACACGUGAGUAACCUGCCCUUGACUUUGGGAUAACUUCAGGAAACUGGGGCUAAUACCGGAUAGGAGCUCCUGCUGCAUGGUGGGGGUUGGAAAGUUUCGGCGGUUGGGGAUGGACUCGCGGCUUAUCAGCUUGUUGGUGGGGUAGUGGCUUACCAAGGCUUUGACGGGUAGCCGGCCUGAGAGGGUGACCGGCCACAUUGGGACUGAGAUACGGCCCAGACUCCUACGGGAGGCAGCAGUGGGGAAUAUUGAACAAUGGGCGGAAGCCUGAUGCAGCAACGCAGCGUGCGGGAUGACGGCCUUCGGGUUGUAAACCGCUUUCGCCUGUGACGAAGCGUGAGUGACGGUAAUGGGUAAAGAAGCACCGGCUAACUACGUG
rnacentral:rRNA from 1 species